rnacentral:rRNA from 1 species
UCCUACGGGAGGCAGCAGUGGGGAAUAUUGGACAAUGGGGGCAACCCUGAUCCAGCCAUGCCGCGUGUGUGAAGAAGGCCCUCGGGUUGUAAAGCACUUUCAGCGAGGAAGAACGCCUAGCGGUUAAUACCCGCUAGGAAAGACAUCACUCGCAGAAGAAGCACCGGCUAACUCCGUGCCAGCAGCCGCGGUAAUACGGAGGGUGCAAGCGUUAAUCGGAAUUACUGGGCGUAAAGCGCGCGUAGGUGGCUUGAUAAGCCGGUUGUGAAAGCCCCGGGCUCAACCUGGGAACGGCAUCCGGAACUGUCAAGCUAGAGUGCAGGAGAGGAAGGUAGAAUUCCCGGUGUAGCGGUGAAAUGCGUAGAGAUCGGGAGGAAUACCAGUGGCGAAGGCGGCCUACUGGACUGACACUGACACUGAGGUGCGAAAGCGUGGGUAGCAAACAGGAUUAGAUACCCUGGUAGUCCACGCCGUAAACGAUGUCGACCAGCCGUUGGGUGCCUAGCGCACUUUGUGGCGAAGUUAACGCGAUAAGUCGACCGCCUGGGGAGUACGGCCGCAAGGUUAAAACUCAAAUGAAUUGACGG